rnacentral:lncRNA from 1 species
AAAGAAAAAAUAUUGCAAGCUGCCAGACAAAAACAAUUUAAUAUUAAGGAGCAACAGCUAGGAUUACCCAGGAUCUGGGAGCUUCUACAAUAAAGGAUUGGUGUGUCUAGAAUAUCAUACUUUGGAAGGCAAAGGUCAUUUAUUUAUUUAUUUAAUAGCCUUUUAUUUACAGGUUAUAUGAAUGGAUAACUUUACAGCAUUGAUGAUUGCCAAACCUCUUGUUCCAAUUUUUCCCCUCCCUCCCCCCACCCCAUCCUCCAGAUGGCUGGAUGAUCAGUAGAUGUUAAAUAUAUUAAUAUAUAAAUUAGAGACACAAUAAGUAUACAUGACCAAACCAUUAUUUUGCUGUACAAAAUGAAUCGGACUCUGAAAUAGUGUACAAUUAGCCUGUGAAGGAAAUCCAAAAUGCAGGUGGGCAAAAAUAUAGAGAUUGGGAAUUCAAUGUAAUGGUUUUUAGUCAUCUCUCAGAGUUCUUUCGCUGGGCAUAGCUGGUUCAGUUCAUUACUGCUCUAUUGGAAAUGAUUUGGUUGAUCUUAUUGCUGAGGAUGGCCAAGCCCAUCAGAAUUAGUCAUGAUAUAGUAUUGUUGUUGAAGUAUAUAAUGAUCUCUUGGCCCUGCUUGUUUCACUCAGCAUGGGUUUAUGUAAGUCUCUCCAGGCCUUUCUGAAAUCAUCCUGUUUGUCAUUUCUUACAGAACAAUAAUAUUCCAUAAUAUUCAUAUAUCACAAUUAAUUCAGCCAUUCUCCAAUUGAUGGGCAUCCACUCAGUUUCCAGUUUCUGGCCACUACAAAGAGGGCUGCCACAAACAUUCUUACAUAUACAGGUCCCUUUCCCUUCUUUAAGAUCUCUUUGGGAUAUAAGCCCAGUAGUAACACUGCUGAAUCAAAGGGUAUGCACAAUUUGAUAACUUUUUGAGCGUAGUUCCAAAUUGCUCUCCAGAAUGGUUGGACGUAUUCACAGUUCCACCAACAAUGUAUUUGUGUCCCUGUUUUCCCACAUCCCUUCCAAUAUUCCACAUUAUCUUUCCCUGUCAUUCUAGCCAGUCUGACAUGUGUGUAGUGAUAUCUCAGAGUUGUCUUAAUUUGCAUUUCUCUGAUUAAUAAUGACUUGGAGCAUCUUUUCAUAUUGCUAGAAGUAGUUUCAAUUUCUUCAUCUGAGAAUUGUCUGUUCAUAUCCUUUGACCAUUUAUCAAUUGGAGAAUGGCUUGAUUUUUUACAAAUUAGAGUCAAUUCUCUACAUAUUUUAGAAAUGAGGCCUUUAUCAGAACCUUUGACUGUAAAAAUAUUUUCCCAGUUUAUUGCUUCCCUUCUAAUCUUAUCUGCAUUAGUUUUGUUUGUAGAAAAACUUUUCAGUUUGGUAUAGUCAAAAUUUUCUAUUUUAUGAUCAGUAAUGAUCUUUAGUUCUUUGGUUAUAAAUUCCUUCCUCUUCCACAGGUCUGAGAGGUAAACUAUCCUGUGUUCCUCUAAUUUAUUUAUAAUCUCAUUCUUUAUGCCUAGGUCAUGAACCCAUUUUGACCUUAUCUUGGUGUACGGUGUUAAGUGUGGAUCAAUGCCUAGUUUCUGCCAUAUUAGUUUCCAAUUUUCCCAGCAAUUUUUGUCAAACAGUGAGUUCUUAUCCCAAAAGCUGGGGUCUUUGGGUUUGUCAAAGACUAGGUUGCUAUACUUCUUGACUGUUUUGUUCCUUGAACCUAACCUAUUCCACUGAUCAAUUAAUCUAUUCCUUAGCCAAUACCAAAUAGUUUUGGUAACUGCUGCUCUAUAAUAUAAUUUUAGAUCUGGUAUAACUAAGCCACCUUCAUUUGAUUUUUUUUUCAUUAAUUCCCUUGAAAUUCUUGAUCUUUUUUUUUUUCCAUAUGAAUUUUGUUGUUAUUUUUUCUAGGUCAUUAAAAUAGUUUUUUGGGAGUCUGAUUGGUAUAGCGCUAAACAAAUAGAUUAGUUUAGGUAGUAUUGUCAUCUUUAUUAUAUUUGCUUGUCCUAUCCAAGAGCAUUUAAUAUUUUUCCAAUUGGUUAGAUUAGACUAAAUUUUUGUGAUAAGUGGUUUGUAAUUUUGCUCAUAAAGUUUCUGAUUUUCCCUUAGCAGAUAAAUUCCUAAGUAUUUUAUAUCAGUUGUUACUUUAAAUGGAAUUUCUCUUUGUAAGUCUGACUAUUCGAUUUUGUUACUGAUAUAUAAGAAUGCUGAUGAUUUAUGUGGGUUUAUUUUGUAUCCUGCAACUUUGCUAAAGUUGUGGAUUAUUUCUAAUAACUUUUUAGUAGAAUCUCUGGGGUUCUCUAAGUAUGCCAUCAUAUCAUCAGCAAAAAGUGAUAAUUUGGUUUCCUUGUUACCUAUUCUUAUUCC